rnacentral:rRNA from 1 species
GGGGCUAUUUUGCACAAGGGGGCCAACCCUGAUCCAGUGAGUCCGCGUCUGAGAAAAAGGCCUUACGGAUUUAAUAGUACUUUCAGGGGGGAGGAAGGCCUUUUUGUUUAAUAACCCAUAGCGAUUGACGUUAGCCGCAGAAGCUGCACGAGCUACCCCCGUGCCAGCAGCCACACUCACACGGGAGGUGCAAGCGUUAAUCGGAAUUACUGGGCGUAAAGCGCACGCAGGCGGUUUUUCAAGUCGGGUUUGAAAUCCCCGGGCACAACCUGGGAACUGCAUUCGAAACUCGCAGGCUGGUGUCUUUUAGAGGGGGGUAAAAUUGCACGCGUAGCGGUGAAAUGCGUAGAGAUCUGGAGGAAUACCGGUGGGGAAGGCGGCCCCCUGGACUAAGACUGACGCUCAGGUGUGCAAGCGAGGCGAGCAAACAGGAUUAGAUACCGUGGUAGUCCACGCCGUAAAUGAUGUCGACUUGGAGGUUGUGCCCCUGAGGCGUGGCUUACUGAGCUAACGCGUUAAGGCGACCGCCUGGGGAGUACGGCCGCAAGGUUAAAACUCAAAUGAAUUGACGGGGGGCGGCACAAGCGGUGGAGCAUGUGGUUUAAUUCGAUGCAACGCGAAGAACCCAACCUAUUGUUGACAUCAAGAGACCUUUCCAGAGAUGGAUUGGUGCCUUCGGGAACUCUGAGACAGGUGCUGCAUGGCUGUCGUCAGCUCGUGUUGUGAAAUGUUGGGUUAAGUCCCGCAACGAGCGCAACCCUUAUCCUUUGUUGCCAGCGGUUAGGCCGGGAACUCAAAGGAGACUGCCAGUGAUAAACUGGAGGAAGGUGGGGAUGACGUCAAGUCAUCAUGGCCCUUACGAGUAGGGCUACACACGUGCUACAAUGGCGCAUACAAAGAGAAGCGACCUCGCGAGAGCAAGCGGACCUCAUAAAGUGCGUCGUAGUCCGGAUUGGAGUCUGCAACUCGACUCCAUGAAGUCGGAAUCGCUAGUAAUCGUAGAUCAGAAUGCUACGGUGAAUA